AAUGGGAAGUUGAGAUAACUUCUUGAACUAGUGUGCCAGGCUGAAAGACGAUUAUGCCCACAAGUAAUUGGCUUUUUGGUUUUGAUUUUUGUUCUUCUUUUUAAUUUACUCUAUUUUUGUUGUUUUAAUUGUUGAACAUGUACAUAGCUGCCCAUAUUAAGCAAUUAGGGGCAAAUUGUUAUGGGUAAAUUUUAGUAAGUCAAAGUCAGCGUAAGUCAGCAAGGGUCAACGACAAAGAGAAAAGAUCGACGACUGAGCCCAAACUCGACGGACAAAGCAAUGAUAACAACUCCCCUAUUUUCUAGGGAGCGAUAAGCUGGAAAGACUAGGUCUCCCACCAGUAAAAUCAAACCGUUAUUGGACUAAGCUAAGUGUCGUGAGUCAAGGAGAUAGUUCCGGAUAUCAAGGGAAGCAUCUUAUCAUUCUACAACGGCCACAUUAAACCCUAGGCAUCAUCUGUAUUAGGGGAAGGAACCAUUGACAUUAGACACAUUGCAACCUAGCUACUAAAAUCACAUUGAUCAUACAUUGUAAUCUCUUUUGUUCGAUAUUUUACAUAGUGAAAGUUUGGAAGAUCCUCAUUCUCUUUGCGGUUUUUACCUUCUUUGGGUUUUCCGCGUCGUUAAUUUCUUGUGUCUUUUCUUUAUUUUGUUAUCGUUUUCAUUUAAGGUUCUAUUUAGUUGAUUCGUAACCUAGAUUUUGCUAUUCAAUCCCACUUGACGAAAUUUAGCAUAAACAUAUCUUCCCUUUUUCCUCACUUUUUACUCUUCCUUUAUCUUCCCUCUCUUUCAAUCUAAAACUAUAAUUAACAGUGGUCUUUAAGGGAGCAUUCCAAAAUGUUUUGUGGUGAGAAGUCCACAAAGGAUCCAAGAAACAACCUCUACCAUGAUCCUUCUAGAUGCUUUACGCCGGAAGGAGGAAGCCUUACCACCCCAUUCUCGAAUGAACCUAUCUCUUCAAUGGUCGCUAGCACCCAUGUAGAGAGGGUUCGAAAGGCCAAUAGGAGGAACCCUAGUCAUCCCCUUGCAGUUAUGCACGGAAGGACAAGAUACGACUUAGUUAGGUCGCCAUAUAACUCUAUAGCAGACUCAAAAGGAGGUAGUGGCGUCCAGACGCAAGUUUGGUAUCUCCAAGACCCACAGACGAACCUUUCAGAUCAGAUUAUAUAUACAUCACUUCGGUCUCAAUGACAAAGGUAACUCGCAAGUACUUAUGGGAGCAUUAGAAGGACUGGGGGGAAGUACUUCAAGAGACUAUGGGCUUAUCCCAUUAAGCUGCUGCAAAUCACUCCUUAGUACUCUUUACCACAUUUGGGAAUGAAGAUCGCCCUUUGGAAUGUUCGUGGAGUGAAUAAGAAUAAUGACUUUCUCCCGCAUGCAUGGCAAAUUGUUCAACAACAUCGACCCUCUAUCUUCAUCAUUCUAAAACCAAAAGUGAGCAGUUAAAGCUCUAGAUGCCCAACAUCAGUUGGGUUUCAGAUAUUCUAAGGUGGUCCCUGCUAACGGUAAAAGAGGAAUAUCUGGUUUUUUGGAAAGCAAACAUUGAUCCGAUCCGAUCCUCUUCAAGGAAAAAGAUGAAUAUUUCCACUCGCUUUUUAAGUCUCACAAGAGGAAACUUGAAAUCUUGCCUACUGGAAUUCAUGCUUCAAGCAUUCCAAAAGCACAACAUGCAGGACAAUCUCCCAGCUCCUAACACACCUUGGAUGCUUCUAGGUGAUUUAAAUGAGUUCACCUCUCAACUUGAAAAGAUGGGUGGAAGGAAGUUUAGAUCUAGUCAGUGUAAUGAUCUCACCAAUUUCAUGAAUAAGGUUGGCUUGGUGGAUCUGGGUUAUAACGACAACCCUUACACUUGGAUUAAUUCAAGGAACGACCUUCAAUAAAUCAAGAAAAGGGUCAAUUGAGCCAUUGCUAAUGCUGCCUUUUUAGAUGAUUUUCCUCAAGUCAAGGUAACUUAUUUUGAUCAUUACCCCUUCUUGGUGACUUUAGAAGACUCUUUAUCUAAUGGUCCUUUUCCUUUUCGUUGUAAGGAAGUUUGGAUUCAACAUGAAUCCUUUUCUAACUUUUUUCUUGAUCAAUGGGUCCCGAUUGAUUCCCAUAUCCCUUUUCUUAAAGUCAGGGACAAUUUUCUAUAACGUAUUCAUUCUUGGGAUCAUAAUGUUUUUUGUAGUUUAAAAUUAAGGAAAGAAGAAUAUUCUUGCAAGGCUUGACGGUAUCCAAAUAUCUUUAGCCAAAUAUUAUAUUUUUUCUUGAUAAUCUAGAAAAUGAACUUCGUUUUUAAUUAAAUAAGAUCUAUAAAAUGGAAAGAGUCAUCUGGGCAAAGAAAGCGGGUAUUAAUUGGCGCAAAUAUGGUGAUUUAAACACCAAGUAUUUUCAUAUCCUUGCUAAAGUAAUGAAAAGUAGAGGGAAAAUCCUUUCACUUCAGGACCCUAAUGGUCUAACUAUUAUUGAUAUGAUAUAUAUUGAUUAGUUGAAAUAGUUGGCCAGAGCCUAUUUCCAAAAUCUUUUUUCUCCUUCUGUUCUGUUUUCUUUCAGCAUUACUGUCAUGCAUGAUGAUUCUCUCUGCCCUAACGUGUUUAGACAUCUUUGUGAUUCCCCUUCAACUUCAGAAGUUAAAGCCUAUCUCUUCCAAAUAAGCCCUAUCAAAAGCCUAGGCCGUGAUGGUAUUCAACUUGUAUUUUACCAACAUUUUUAGGAUAACCUUGAGGAUAGUAUCUCUUGUUUUAUUACAGAUGUAUUCAAAUCUAUUGUUAUCCUCAUGAUAUCAAUCACUCUUACAUUUCCCUCAUAUCCCAAAAAUGGAAAAUCUUCGCUCUAUGGCUAACUUUAGACCUAUAGGACUGGGUAAUAGUUACAAGCUUAUUACUAAAGUCAUCUCUUUAAGGUUAAGGCCUCUCAUGCCUUCCCUUAUCUGCCCCUUCAAGUUAGUUUUAUAAAGGGUUGAGGCACAGAAGAUAAUAUAGUUCUGAUUAAGGAGAUUUCUCAUUAGUUUAAAAAGACCAGAAAGGGAAAAAACAUUAUGGAUGAUAAAUCUUAAAUUCAAACCUAAUUUUAUUUUUAAAAUCAUACAGGAUUUGAUCUUCUAUUGCAUGGCUAAAGUGGAUACAAUUAUGAGUGAAAAAAGUUGGUAUUAUAUCUCAUGCCCAGCAUGUAAAAGACGUAUCACUCCAAGAAAAACAGAUUUUUGGUGCAUUCCUUGUAAGAAACAAAUUGAAAGGCCCAUCCCAAGGUUUGUUUCAAAUUUCUACUUUAUCCAUAUUACUACAAUAAUAGAUUAAACGAAUAAUAAAUUAUAUAAUGCCUAAUUUCUUCAUGCAUUAUUUUUUUUCUCAAUCAGAUAUCGAUCAUAGUGGGUCAACAAUAUUUGUAGUUUUUGAUGAAGAAGCUAAGAAACUAAUAGGACAAUAUACUACAAGUACUCUUUUUGAGGCUCAUACUUAUGGAAAGGUUUUAAUAAUUGCUUUUUAACAAUAGUUAAAAGAUUAAAUUGUUCUACAAAUGCUUUUAUCAAUUAUUUCAAUUAAAAUUGACAGAUCAAUGAUCAUAAUGAUGAUGAUAAUGACAAUGAAGAUGAUGAUACACAAAUUCCAAAGAUAAUUGCAAAUAUCAUUGGAAGAGAGUUGGUAUUCAAAGUUAAAGUCACCGCUUAUAAUCGUACAACAAUUCGACAAACUUUUACGGUGAUGAAAAUUUUUGACAAAAGUGUCAUUGAGAAUAAAGAUGUCAUAAAAGAUAAUGAAGAUACUUCAAAAGAUGAAUUACAGUCAUUGAAAAAACCGCAAAACGCCCUUUUAAUAAUAUCAAUUCAACGGAAAAGGAUCAUGAUUCAUCCGACCAAAUCACAUCAAAGAAGAUAAAGGUUUAGUUUUAUGAAUCAAGGAUUCUCUCGAAACAUAAUAAAAUUCCAUGUUCAAGAAAUAGAGAUUUAGAUGAUAGUAACAAAUAAUACUUAUGUUAGCUUUUUAAUUUUUUAUUAUGUAACAACUUUCGAGAUUCUAGAUGAUAGUUUUUCUUUUAUAUAUGUUUUAUU